GACGAACGCUGGCGGCGUGCUUAACACAUGCAAGUCGAGCGGUAAGGCCCUUUCGGGGGUACGACGAGCGGCGAACGGGUGAGUAACACGUGGGUGACCUGCCCUCAGCUCUGGGAUAAGCCUGGGAAACCGGGUCUAAUACUGGAUAUGACUCCAUGACGCAUGUUGGUGGGGUGGAAAGCCUUGUGCGGCUGAGGAUGGGCCCGCGGCCUAUCAGCUUGUUGGCGGGGUGANGGCCUACCAAGGCGACGACGGGUAGCCGGCCUGAGAGGGCGACCGGCCACACUGGGACUGAGACACGGGCCCAGACUCCUACGGGAGGCAGCAGUGGGGAAUCUUGCGCAAUGGGCGAAAGCCUGACGCAGCGACGCCGCGUGAGGGAUGACGGCCUGG
rnacentral:rRNA from 1 species